CCCUUAGAUGUUCUGGGCUGCACGCGCGCUACACUGAUGCACUCAACGAGUUUACGACCUUGCCCGAUAGGGUUGGGUAAUCUUUUUAAAAUGCAUCGUGAUGGGGAUAGAUUAUUGCAAUUAUUAAUCUUCAACGAGGAAUUCCUAGUAAGCGCGAGUCAUCAGCUCGUGCUGAUUACGUCCCUGCCCUUUGUACACACCGCCCGUUGCUCCUACCGAUUGAGUGCUCAGGUGAAUAAUUCGGACUGCAGCAAUGUUUGGAUCCCGAACGUUGCAGCGGAAAGUUUAGUGAACCUUAUCACUUAGAGGAAGGAGAAGUCGUAACA
rnacentral:rRNA from 1 species